UACGUAGGGUGCGAGCGUUGUCCGGAAUUACUGGGCGUAAAGAGCUCGUAGGUGGUUUGUCGCGUUGUUCGUGAAAACCGGGGGCUUAACCCUCGGCGUGCGGGCGAUACGGGCAGACUGGAGUACUGCAGGGGAGACUGGAAUUCCUGGUGUAGCGGUGAAAUGCGCAGAUAUCAGGAGGAACACCGGUGGCGAAGGGGGGUCUCUGGGCCGAUAUUGACGCUGAGGAGCGAAAGCGUGGGGAGCAAACAGG
rnacentral:rRNA from 1 species